GAUGAACGCUGGCGGCGUGCCUAACACAUGCAAGUCGAGCGAUUCUCUUCGGAGAAGAGCGGCGGACGGGUGAGUAACGCGUGGGUAACCUGCCCUGUACACACGGAUAACAUACCGAAAGGUAUGCUAAUACGGGAUAACAUGUUUUGAUCGCAUGGUCGAAAUAUCAAAGCUCCGGCGGUACAGGAUGGACCCGCGUCUGAUUAGCUAGUUGGUAAGGUAACGGCUUACCAAGGCGACGAUCAGUAGCCGACCUGAGAGGGUGAUCGGCCACAUUGGAACUGAGACACGGUCCAAACUCCUACGGGAGGCAGCAGUGGGGAAUAUUGCACAAUGGGCGAAAGCCUGAUGCAGCAACGCCGCGUGAGCGAUGAAGGCCUUCGGGUCGUAAAGCUCUGUCCUCAAGGAAGAUAAUGACGGUACUUGAGGAGGAAGCCCCGGCUAACUACGUG
rnacentral:rRNA from 1 species